GACAGUAUGGUGUAGUGGUUAUCACGUCUCCUCACACGCAGAAGGUCCCCAGUUCGAGCCUGGGUACUGUCA
rnacentral:tRNA from 1 species